rnacentral:rRNA from 1 species
AUGGCGGGGCGCGGCGACGACGUGGCCGUGAUGACCGUGGCGGAGUAUGAGGCAAGGAGGAGGAGGCGGGCGGAGCAGGUCACGCUGCCGACCGGCAUGCUGCUUGUGCAGGUGCUGACGGUGGUGACCAUGCUGCUUACCAAGGUGGCUCUCAACGACAUGCACCCCCUCAUCCUGCUCGCCUACCGCAACCUCGUCGCAGCCGCCUUCUUCUUCCUCCUCGCCAUCGUCUUCGAGAGAGCCACAAGGUUCGAGGGACGGCCGUGGCGCGCGGUGGCGUGCGCGGCGGACGCGGCGUGCGCGACCGACAUGGAGGCAUUGGCUGCGGCGUGCGGCGAGCGCGUGGCGUCGGCGACGCGCGACGAGUCCGCGGCUGUGCGGUGUGAUGCCGUGCGUGCGAAGAGCACGGUGGUCGCGGAGACGAGGAGGUCGCGGAGGACCUGCGUGGUGGCACAGAGGUCGCGGCGGCUCGGCGCGACAACCGUGGAGGCGCGUGGCACAGAGCCGCGGUGGACCUGCGUGGUGGCGCAGAGGCUGCGGUGGCGCAGCGUGGUGGCAUGGAGGUGA